UACGUAGGGGGCAAGCGUUGUCCGGAUUUAUUGGGCGUAAAGAGCUCGUAGGCGGUUCGGUAAGUCGGAUGUGAAAUCUCCAGGCUCAACCUGGAGGGGUCAUUCGAUACUGCCGUGACUAGAGUUCGGUAGGGGAGUGUGGAAUUCCUGGUGGAGCGGUGAAAUGCGCAGAUAUCAGGAGGAACACCCGUAGCGAAGGCGGCACUCUGGGCCGAUACUGACACUGAGGCGCGAAAGCCAGGGGAGCAAACGGG
rnacentral:rRNA from 1 species